AAGAUGGCGACCGGCGCACGGGUGAGUAACACGUAUCUAACCUGCCGAUAACUCCGGAAUAGCCUUUCGAAAGAAAGAUUAAUACCGGAUAGUAUACGAAUAUCGCAUGAUAUUUUUAUUAAAGAAUUUCGGUUAUCGAUGGGGAUGCGUUCCAUUAGUUUGUUGGCGGGGUAACGGCCCACCAAGACUACGAUGGAUAGGGGUUCUGAGAGGAAGGUCCCCCACAUUGGAACUGAGACACGGUCCAA
rnacentral:rRNA from 1 species